rnacentral:rRNA from 1 species
UUUAUGGAGAGUUUGAUCCUGGCUCAGAGUGAACGCUGGCGGCGUGCCUAAUACAUGCAAGUCGAACGAUG